CUGCUGCCAUGUAUGAAAGAGAUACGACUUUCCUGCUCACUUUAUUAACAACUUUUUCUAGCCUUUUAUUUUUGCAGAUUGGUUGGCCUGGCCUUAUUCCAAGUGCAGUUCCACUGAGGGCAUGACGGUGCUCUGCAAUUCUCGGAUAUAACAAGUCAUGGUCCUUGGCUGUGCUUCGGUCGUCAGUCACUCCUGUCACCGCCAUUUUCCUUGGCUAGAACUUAGCAGAUGUCCGGACAGCUUGGAACCAGAGAACAAUUGACGACUGUGCACCUACGUGAAGAACUAUUCGUAAACAUCUUCAGUGGAGUGCCAAAUCUACUUCCCUGAGUUUGGAAUCAUUUGAACUGUUCCAAUGUUGUCAUCGGAUGGUCCAAUCCUGGAGCUUAUGACUACUCUGGUGACGGAGCAACGCUGCUGCCACAGACGUUUUUCUGCUGCAUCUCAGAUCAACUACCUGGCGUUUGCCUUUGUGUGGAUGGUUCCAGCGCUGAACGUGGAAUAUAACCGUAGAGUGUAGUACUGCUAUGGCCAUGAAGACGUGUUGUUGGCACCACAUUGUCUUGCAGCGGCUGCUCAGAUGUCCGGACAGCUUGGAACCAGAGAACGAUUGACGACUGUGCACCUACGUGAAGAACUAUUCGUAAACAUCUUCAGUGGAGUGCCAAGUAUGUAUGCUGGGCAAGAACUCAUCUUUGAGUUUUAUCGAGAGUGCAUAAAUUUGAUCACUUUAUUUUUACUAAGCUCUCUUGUUUGAUAUCUACAGAUCUACUUCCCUGAGUUUGGAAUCAUUUGAACUGUUCCAAUGUUGUCAUCGGAUGGUCCAAUCCUGGAGCUUAUGACUACUCUGGUGACGGAGCAACGCUGCUGCCACAGACGUUUUUCUGCUGCAUCUCAGAUCAACUACCUGGCGUUUGCCUUUGUGUGGAUGGUUCCAGCGCUGAACGUGGAUUAUAACCAUAGAGUGUAGUACUGCUCUGGCCAUGAAGACGUGUUGUUGGCACCACAUUGUCUUGCAGUGGCUGCUCAGAUGUCCCGACAGCUUGGAACCAGAGAACAAUUGGCGUAUGUGCACCUACGUGAAGAACUAUUCGAAAACGUCUUCAGCGGAGUGCCGAGUAUGUAUGCUGAGCAAGAACUCUGCAGCUCACCUGAGCUGCAGCGGCUGCUCAGGUGAUUCCGCAACUUGAAACUGGAUUUUGAUUGUGCGCCGUUGAGAAAAGAUCUGCCUUCUAGCUACCAGCUUCAAAGCAGCUCAUCGAAUCGCAGUGAGUGAGCGAGGCUAAUAGCCUCGCGGCGAAUGUGAAAUGUGUCCAAGGGACCGUUUGUCCAAAUAAACAUAAUUGAUGGGAGCUUGAGCUUUAUAUUGGCAAUAACCAAAAUUAGGUAAACACUCUAUUCCGCAGUGUCAGCAGUGCACAGUACUGCACAAUUCGGCCUAAGGUUCCUUGGACCAUCACCACAGCGGGUCGUGUCAGUGACGGAAACAUGAGGUGCUACGUUGCGUAUUAGUUAGAGGCUUAGCGGUCGUCCGGCAGAACUAGCAGAUAGGCUUUGCGCCUUAUGUUUGCGUUACGGACAUUGGCCUGUUCCGAAUGCACUUGCAACCAAGUCCCUUUAUCGUGUCAAGGAAUGCCCGUGCGCGAAAAGUGCUCUUGAACGAUAAAUUGAUCCUAGUUUCAAUGGCAUUCGGAAUUCUCGCCAACCACAUCGAGCUACACUGAAGAAAGGACAUUGCCUGCGGACUGCGGCACAUCGUGCAUUCCGUCGCAGCAAAGGUACUGUGGCUGACCGCUUCCCGACAAAUGUUAUAAUGGUCACUCACAACGGAGCUUUCGGCGCAUUGACUGUUUACUCUGCUGCCAUGUAUGAAAGAGAUACGACUUUCCUGCUCACUUUAUUAACAAGUUUUUCUAGCCUUUUAUUUUUGCAGAUUGGUUGGCCUGGCCUUAUUCCAAGUGCAGUUCCACUAAGGGCAUGAUGGCGCUCUGCAAUUCUCGGAUAUAACAAGUCAUGGUCCUUGGCUGUGCUUCGGUCGUCAGUCACUCCUGUCACCGCCAUUUUCCUUGGCUAGAACUUAGCAGAUGUCCGGACAGCUUGGAACCAGAGAACAAUUGACGACUGUGCACCUACGUGAAGAACUAUUCGUAAACAUCUUCAGUGGAGUGCCAAAUCUACUUCCCUGAGUUUGGAAUCAUUUGAACUGUUCCAAUGUUGUCAUCGGAUGGUCCAAUCCUGGAGCUUAUGACUACUCUGGUGACGGAGCAACGCUGCUGCCACAGACGUUUUUCUGCUGCAUCUCAGAUCAACUACCUGGCGUUUGCCUUUGUGUGGACGGUUCCAGCGCUGAACGUGGAAUAUAACCGUAGAGUGUAGUACUGCUCUGGCCAUGAAGACGUGUUGUUGGCACCACAUUGACUUGCAGUGGCUGCUCAGAUGUCCCGACAGCUUGGAACCAGAGAACAAUUGGCGUAU